CCAGGGCCACAUACCACCUUACUGUAAAGCUACAGAUUAAAUCCAUGACUCCUGACUAAUUAAUGCUCUUUCCAUUAGAUUAUUUAAUAUACAAACACUGCAACAGCUGAUUGAGGCUCAAAGUAGAGGCGUUGGAGAAAAGGCCAGCUAAAUAAUGCAUUGUUAGGGAAAGGGAGAAUGCUGUGUGGAGUGACCCUGAAAGUUGCAGGCUGACAUGGUAGAGACUGAACAAUGAUUUCUCAUAAUAUAGCCCUUUGUGCCACUGUCAGAGGCAGGGGUUUCCUUACUCCCUGUGAGUCCCUUACUUGGAGCACCUAUUUCUUGGCCUUGAAUAGUCCACACUAUCUAGUGCCAGGGCAUGCACUGGUUCACUCUGCCACAUUCCCUUCAGGGUUGGCUAUCCCAGCCGGUGCUGAGGCCAAUGGAAUCUACUCCCACUGCAGUGUAGGGAGUGGAUACAGCUCCUGGGGAAGCCACACAGAGGAUGGAAGAGCCGUUUAUCCCAGAAAAUCCUGCUGCCUCUGCCGGGAGCCUGGUAGUCAAGAGUGCUUAGUCUCAGUAAGACUGGAGUGGGAAAUCUGAACUAUUCUAGUGCUCUUGGCAUUGCAGAAACGAGGGGAAAUAAAGCAGGGGAACCUGUCGGGCGAGACUGGUAAGGCUGCUGUCUGACUGUCAGAGGUGCCCACCUUGGAGAAGAGGCCUGGUGGUUCUUCCUUCCUAACAAGAGGGGGGCAAGGACCAGAGACCCGAAAGAACAGGAUAGGACGCCCGUUUGCCAAGCCCCCUGGGGAAGUGCUGGGGAGACUGUGAGCUCUCUCCUCCUGGGCUUCGGUGACGUACACACAUGCCUGAACGGCAGAAUCAUGGGAAGAAGAGGGAGCUGCUCAAACAGGUACGAGCUGCCUGCAGAGGUGUGCAGCUUAGGGGUCAGAUUCCAACAGUUCGUCCCUGGAGGGAAAACAGCCCCAUGCCACCUUUUCUUUUGCAGGAGUCUUUUUCCUCCUGGGUCAUUUCAUGUGUUGAACAACCAAAAGGAAAGUUGGUUCUAAUGGGAGAAAAAACGAUGCAAGGAAUAUGACAGCAAGAGACCUGAGCCCGGUGGCGAAGGCAGAGAUAAAGGCAAGUGAGGGAGAGACAUGUAGGUGCCUGUUUGGGGCGAAUUCUAGGUACCCUUCCCUCCAACACCUUGCAGACUGAGGAAGCGGCUGUUUUCAACUACUUAUGACAUCUGUACAACACUCAUAACCUGUACCCGCAGAAGCCAGAGCUCCUAGGUUGCUGGGGCUGAGUUCUGCACCCAGUGAGUUUUGCAUUUAGCACUUUGCCUGGGUGCCUGCAGCUGCAAGGAGCGAGAUUAAACGCUGGGCAAAGAGCAGACUGUAGGAUUGUGGCUCUGCUGGACACACGUCUCAGCGUGGUGACCGAAUGGGAUGUUCUUUCACACGUGUUCCUCAGGAAGGGGACAGAAUCAUUUGUAUUUGAGUAGAAAUUUGCAGAAAAAGCGAGCUGUCCAGCGAGUGCCGAGGUCUUUCUCCGAGGGAUAUGUCCCAUAUGCAGCUGUACAUUUGGUGUGUCUGCGGGGGAGCUCAUUUUACAGAUGAGGAAACAGGAUCAGAUAAAUUACAUCACAGUUUGCUGCCAGGCCCAGGGAGCCUAUGAAUGAGGCGACCCCACUGGCAGACAGAGAGAAAGAGGCCCAGCUGGCACACAGCACCUUGGCCUCUGACAUGUCAAGUGUGGCCGUUGCAGACCCUCAGCGGGAAGCCAGCUGCCAACUGACUGCAGCUGCAUGAGUGGACCCAGAUGAGACCAGCAUUAGAACUUCUCAGUCACCUACAAAAUCACGAGAAGUAAUAAAGCAAUUUUUA